UUACACUUCUGGCAACAGCGAUAAGGGGACCUCGAGUGCCAGGAUACAAUCUUGGCUGUCGCGAUGCCUAAAAAGCAUUGCAUAGCAAGGGCCGGGCAAGACCGGUGCCAGCCGCCGCGGUAACACCGGCGGCUCGAGUGGUAACCGCUAUUAUUGGGUCUAAAGGGUCUGUAGCCGGCCGGAUAAGUCUUUUGGGAAAUCCAGCUGCUCAACAGUUGGGCUUUCAGAAGAUACUGUUCGGCUCGAGACCGGGAGAGGUGAGAGGUACUUCAGGGGUAGGGGUGAAAUCUUGUAAUCCUUGAAGGACCACCAGUGGCGAAGGCGUCUCACCAGAACGGAUCUGACGGCAAGGGACGAAAGCUAGGGGCACGAACCGGAUUAGAUACCCGGGUAGUCCUAGCCGUAAACGAUACUCGCUAGGUGUCAGCCACGGUGCGACCGUGGUUGGUGCCGUAGGGAAGCCGUGAAGCGAGCCACCUGGGAAGUACGGCCGCAAGGCUGAAACUUAAAGGAAUUGGCGGGGGAGCAC
rnacentral:rRNA from 1 species